CACAGCUCCAGGAUAGGCUAACCAGCACUAAUGUCAGUGAGGCUGGAAGCCAUAACGACCAAGUGAUGCCAUUGCAAAAGACAAGAAGCUGUGAUCACCACUGGAACAUGGCAGGGUAUAAAGACCGAACCCUUAUUCUUCGAUGACGUGAAAUCUUUUUCCUCCCUAUGUCUUUCGACAUUCCCGACCGGAUUUAAUAUCCCAUUGAUGUCUUUCAGUCUUCUAACAAGGCCGAGAUGUGUGAACGGUUUCCUUCCGGAAGAAAGGGGAUUAUAUGUGGAUAAUUCCCCAUCAUAGAUACUUAGUGCUUCUCCGCUAUAAUUUAUUACUGUAAUUAACACCCUGCCUCCUCCAGUAAUGAAAAUCCAGGGUCCCAUCGUUCAGUGACCUUCAGUUCUCGAGUCCCUUGUCUAUACAACGCUAUUAUCCUGGAAUUAACAUGCUACGUAUGUUUGAAUGGAAUGUACAAGGAGAGAAGAAGACAACCCACUUAUCCAGACCAGAUUUUGCAUAGCGGUCAUUUUCUUUGAGAAGACCGCUUGGAUUCGUGACAAGAUCACUUCUGAAAAUAUCUAAUUAUAUUGGCCCCACCGGUGCCGAUCAUCAUUCGAAACCCAGUAGGUAGGCUACCUGGCCCGGUGAUGUAGCACAAGCAGCGGUUGAUGAAGACCUGCGUUUUUAGGUGAAAGAUGCACUGUCCUUACCGUCUAAAGUCUGUUGCCCCCCUCCCAUUAAUUGGCUAUAUGUUCCACAUGCUCACAAAUAGGGUUAAGUGAGGCAACACCCAUCCCUCCCCCCACCCCUGAACCCAGAUUCAAUCCAAAGUUGGCAGCCCACUAAAACUUUCGAACAUUGCCAGUUUUGGCUCGCACAGACCUCGCAAUGUAGGGGGUGAGCUGUGAGUACAGCUCAGCCCAGCAAGGAAGUAGCGCUAGUUAACUCCUUGGGGGAGGAGGGUGAAUACAUUGUAUUGCCAUCUAUAUGGCUGUAUAAUGUAUACAGUAAAUGUAUACAGAGUGAUACCCUCUCAUUAUGGUCCGGGCCUUUUCUUGUUUAGCUCCUCCCCUCAUGAUAUCAUCACCGGAGGCGGGGCUACAUAAGAAGAGGCACAAGUAGAUGGCUGUAUAAAGUAUACAACUCCCCCAAGGAGUUAUCAGCAGUGCGAAAGAGUAAAGAUGUGUUGCGUGCUCACCUCGAACCGAUCACUUCAUCCGAAAGUUCGGCAAGCCCAAAAAGCUUGCUCAACUCCUAAACCUACUAGGUAGAGAUAAGCAAAUCUCCCCAAAUUUUUUCAGGAAAGCUUGCUUGAAUUGCCAAUUUAAAUCGGAUUAAUGGACGAUUUAGAUUCGUUCAGGAGCAGGGACUCGGAUGAUAUAGCGCAAGCAACGGUUGAUGAAGACUUGCAGCUUUUGCAUGUUUUCUACUCCCAGAUAAUCCUUAUGAUACUGAAUAGAAAACUGAAUAGAAACUCCUAUUGCUGCCUGGAAACUGAUAUCAGGGAGGAUACCAACAGGUUUGCUCCUAUAUUUAUAUAGUGUCUAUAAAUACAAUGUUAAUAAAUGAAAACUGCCCCAACAGUAGUAAGUUGCUUGCUCUGCUCUCUGUGGACCACCACUUUACAUUUCCAGGUUCGUAGACAAUCUUACAACCCAUCUCGAGUGGUCACAAAGUGGUGUGCCUGGACUGACAUUACUUGCUAUUGAGAGAUGUUUGCUACUUGUACUCAAGAAAAGUAGGGGUACCUAGAAGGACUAGUGGGCAUUUGUCCCAUCUGCUGGGUGCCAGGAGGGGCACCAAUAAGCCACUGUGCCUUAGCCAUGGCAUUUCGCUUAG